rnacentral:rRNA from 1 species
UACGUAGGGCGCAAGCGUUGUCCGGAAUUGUUGGGCGUAAAGAGCUCGUAGGCGGUCUGUCGCGUCCGUUGUGAAAACUCGAGGCUCAACCUCGGGCUUGCAGUGGAUACGGGCAGACUAGAGUGCGGUAGGGGAGACUGGAAUUCCUGGUGUAGCGGUGAAAUGCGCAGAUAUCAGGAGGAACACCGGUGGCGAAGGCGGGUCUCUGGGCCGAUACUGACGCUGAGGAGCGAAAGCGUGGGGAGCGAACAGG